rnacentral:rRNA from 1 species
UACGGAGGGUGCAAGCGUUGUCCGGAUUUAUUGGGUUUAAAGGGUGCGUAGGCGGACAUAUAAGUCAGUGGUGAAAUCCUGCGGCUCAACCGUAGACUUGCCAUUGAAACUAUUUGUCUUGAGUAUGUUCGAGGUAUCUGGAAUGCGUAGUGUAGCGGUGAAAUGCAUAGAUAUUACGCAGAACACCAAUUGCGAAGGCAGGGUACUGGGACAUAACUGACGCUGAGGCACGAAAGCGUGGGGAGCGAACAGG